GUGCUCGCUUCAGCAGCACAUAUACUAAAAUUGGAAUGAUACAGAGAAGAUUAGCAUGGUCCCUGUACAAAGAUGACACAGAAAAAGAAAAAAAAAAUCCCUUAAUU
rnacentral:snRNA from 1 species